rnacentral:lncRNA from 1 species
CCGUGCCUGGGUAGCUCAGGAUGGGGUGGCUGGGGCUUCUCGAGCACGUCGGCUCGCGCAGUGGACAGAAGAUGCAGAGGAUGGUAUAACAGGCAUCGCGUCCCACUGACACGCAGAGGUAACUGGUUGACAGUUUGUCAUAGCUGCUUCCAAGUCUGUCUUCAGAAGGACCCCGUUUCAGGUAAAGCUAAAGCCACCAGGAGCCCCCUCCGUCUCCCGCCCUUCUCCCCCUUCUCAGAGGCAGCCAUCCUCCAAUUGCAUGUUUCACACGGUGAUGUGCAGUGAUAGACGUUUGUUGAAAAGAAUCCAGAUAAUUCAAAAGUGUGCGAAGUAACAUUUUACAGCUACAUCUGGGUAUAUUCUGCUUUUCUCUCUUCCUGAGGCUCAUGCAGGACACACAGCCCUGUCUCAUUCUGUUAAACAGGCCCAGAUUUACACUCAGCAUAAACCAUCUCAAACUUGCCAGUGUUUCCGACUCCACCGUGGGUGGCUUUUCCCCUCCCCUGUGAGUUCUUGCUGCCUCCCCUGGCCUGGGGGCACCUGAGGGUCUGAGCGCCUUGCUGACCUGUAGAAAUCCAGGGAUUCAGGGAAAGAAACCCUGAGAGCCUGGCAGGCUUUUCACGACUGUGGGAACACCUGGGCACCUGGAGCAAUUGGACCCUGCAGGCUUUCUCACGUGGGCUCUUUACAUCCCGAAAGGGAAACAGCGCAGCAGAGCCCCCAGCUACAUCGGCAGCCUCAGAGAGAGGCCUCACCUGAAGACCCAGUGCCGCCUUCUGUGACAUUUUGGCUUUCACUUACAAGUUAUCACUGCAAAGAGGAAGUUUGUCUCUAUAACUAGGAAAAAUAAGUAGGUUUUUUAAAAAAGUUACUAAACUGAAGGCAAUUUUAGUACACUGGCAGCUUGCAAGUGCCUAAGAACCUUUGGGAGGAACACAGUUUGAGAAACUGGUCUCCACUGUGUUUCUGACUGCAGCAAAGCCAUCGGCCUUUGUUCUGUUAGUUUAGCUGAUAGCGCGCUGCUGAAAGUAUGCGAUAGGGUCUGGACAGGUGGGUUAUUUCUAAGCUUGGUUAAUGUGUCGAUCUAGGGCUCCCUUAGGCCUCAGACUUAUUUCCUGGAAACUUCUUAAAGUGAUAAGAGUGGCUCAAGAGCUGUGGAAAGUGACUGGUUCAGCGUCCUCCAAGAAGGAGAGUGAGGGUUCUGUACGUGUGCGAACCCAGGCCCUCCCUCCCUGGCUCUGAGUCACACAGGGCGGCCCCUGUGCGCGCUCCCGAGAGUCUUCAUGCCUCCUGCAGGGGGUGCCGAGAGUGCAUGGAGUCCCGUGUGCAGGGCGCCUGGCUCAGUUCCUGGCACCGAGGCCGCCCUCACACAGCAGUCCUCGUCCUACAUGUCCUCACCUUGCACUUGAGGAAAAUGGGGCUGCACACCACCCGUGACCAGCCCCUGGCCAGGCUUCCAGAGUAGCUUCUGCUGCAACCGCCAGCCACAGCAGGGCGAUGGGAAGGUACGUGGAGAAGGGUCAUCUGUGAGCUGUGUGGAACUUCUGCAGGACUGGGGAAGGCAUACCCCCUCCUCCAGGCUGCCCACGGGGAGUCGGCCGAGAGGAACAGCACAGAAGCCAAGAGGUCUUCAGUCAGAAGGCUCUGGGCCAAGGUGUUUCCAGGCUCGUGCACGCCGGGGGCACCUCGCUGUGCUGUGCCCCCAACCACCACACAUGCGCACACACACACACUCACACUCUCAGUGUUAGACCGUGUCGGAGAAGAGGCUGCGCUGAGGCCCAGAUGGCACCCAUGGUUCUCCAGCCUUGCGAGCGUGGAGUCCGAAUGGAAUAGCCUCCUCACUAUAGUCAUCAUGAUACUAACAUUUGUUGCAGGCACGUGCUUAACAGAUUGCAGCUGACUGCAGAGUCUGAGCCAAGCACAUCUGGAUCUCACUGAGGGCGUGGCAGAGAGCAGGGGCUUUGGAACUGGGUUCGCGCCCCAGCUGGGCCCCUCGCUAGCUGGGAGGGAGGCGGGGACUAGGCCCCGUGCUCGUCUGGGCUGGAGUUUCCUCUUCUGUAAAGUAGGGGUGGCAGCACCCACCACGCGGCAUUGCCUGAAAAGCCCCAGCCGGGCCCUCGGAGGACAGACAGCGAGUCGUGGCCAUUAUAACUGCUGUCAUUAUUUCGUUCUAGGGGCUGAUUGGAGGCCCUCUCUGGAGUUCGUCUUUGUUUCUCAAACUCCUUGCCAGAAAGCAUCCACUGACGUUAGCAGGAUGUCCGAGGAGCUCUGGCUGCGUUUCACCCUCAGCCCCAGGACUCGGCGUGAAUGACUCAGCUCCGACCGGGAAUCUCCCCUCGUUCAGUGCACACGUGAAUCUUCAGGGAAAUUCACAGAAAACUCGGGGAGAGUAAGUAGACUGACUGAGGCACUGAGGUCGUUCUUCCAUUUACUCAGUCGAUAAAUAUUCUUGGGCACCUGCUGGGUGCCAAGCACUGGUCUCGGCCCUGGGAUACAGUCAGCUUUGGGAGAGACAGACACCGAACAGGAUGAUUUCUGGUGUGUUGAAAAUAAGGCAGAGGUCCCUGGAGAUUAUGUCCCGUGGGGAAAAGUAAAUCCCCCGAAAGAAAUGGAGAGAAUGGAUGGUGCGUUCCCAAACAGCAGAUAUCCGUGGGGGUUCCUGCCGUUUCCAGGGAAGCCUUCCAAGGCCUGCUCUGGCCUCCAGGGCGGGCGGUGGUAAGGGUUCCGAUUCUGGGAUUAGGCAGACUAGAAUUCAAGUCCAGGUUGGCCACUUGCUCACUGUGACCCGGGGCAGGUCACCUCUCCGAGCAUGCAGAGCGGGAUGAUGACUCUUCCCAUGUAGGUGCUGUGAGGUCAUUCGUGCUCUGCCUGGCACAUGGUAAGCAUUCUGGUUACUUCCCACACCAAAUGCUCAGUCACAUUGUAUGUGUGUGUGCGCGCGCGCACGCCCGCAUGUCUGCAAAGUGGGUCCAGGUCCUUGGGGUGGGGGCUGUGCCUAUCAGCCCUCCAGUGUAUUUCGUUACAGCUUUAGCCUCAUUCAUUCCUCCCUCCUCCUAGGUAAGAGUUAUUAAGAUACCCAAUCACAGAACUUCCCCCGGGUUCUUGAACCCUCCCCAAAGCACCCCACACAAGUCCUUUUAACAUCCUCUUCCUGAAACACCCGCGGUUGCCCGUGGUAUGCGUGCUCUCUCCUUGCACGACGCUAUCAUCCGACUUGGUUCAACCACAGGUGCGUUCUGCGUGGUCUUUGGCUGGAGCGCAUUGUAAACAUAAACCCAAAAAUGUCCCCCUGAACAGUUUGCCUCAACUAAUGCAGCACCUCCGGGAAGGUGCCUCGCACAGCAGGAAACAGCACCAGAGGAAACAAAAAGCAGCCCAAGGGGUGUGCCUUCUGGAACUACCUGCAGGAGACCUGCCUGCUGGCGGGAGGAGGGUCGAGGAUUGUGCAGAG